UUCGCAAUGCCCGAAAGGGUGACGAAGCGACGCCGCGUGAGCGAAGAAGGCCUUAGGGUUGUAAAGCUCUGUCGAGGGUUAUGAAAUGUAGGUGGGUUAAUACCCCGCUUAUUUGACAAAGGCCCCAAAGGAAGUCACGGCUAACUCUGUGCCAGCAGCCGCGGUAAUACAGAGGUGGCAAGCGUUGUUCGGUAUUAUUGGGCGUAAAGAGCACGUAGGUGGUUUUGUAAGUCAGGUGUGAAAGCCUUCUGUUCAAAGGAAGAACGGCAUCUGAAACUGCAGAUCUUAAGUGUAGGAGGGGAGAGUGGAACUUCUGGUGGAGCGGUGAAAUGCGUAGAUAUCAGAAGGAACGUCGGCGGCGAAAGCGACUCUCUGGCCUAUUACUGACACUGAGGUGCGAAAGUUAGGGGAGCAAACGGGAUUAGAUACCCCGGUAGUCCUAACCGUAAACGAUGGGCACUAAGUAGAGGGGUUUU
rnacentral:rRNA from 1 species